GACGAACGCUGGCGGCGUGCUUAACACAUGCAAGUCGAACGGAAAGGCCUGCUUUCCCCUGUGGAUUGCGGGUACUCGAGUGGCGAACGGGUGAGUAACACGUGAGUGAUCUGCCCCCAACUUGGGUAUAAGCCUGGGAAACUGGGUCUAAUUCCCGAUAGGACUGCAGGGUGGUGCCUGUGGUGGAACACGAUUUUCUAGUGGUUGGGGAUGAGCUCGCGGCCUAUCAGCUUGUUGGUGGGGUAAUGGCCUACCAAGGCGGCGACGGGUAGCCGGCCUGAGAGGGUGGACGGCCACAUUGGGACUGAGAUACGGCCCAGACUCCUACGGGAGGCAGCAGUGGGGAAUAUUGCACAAUGGGCGGAAGCCUGAUGCAGCGACGCCGCGUGGGGGAUGACGGCCUUCGGGUUGUAAACUCCUUUCGACCGCGAGGAAGCCACCUGGUUGGAAGGGUGGUGACGGUAGUGGUAGAAGAAGCACCGGCUAACUACGUG
rnacentral:rRNA from 1 species